rnacentral:rRNA from 1 species
UACGGAGGGGACUAGCGUUGUUCGGAAUUACUGGGCGUAAAGCGCACGUAGGCGGAUUUGUAAGUCAGGGGUGAAAUCCCGAGGCUCAACCUCGGAACUGCCUUUGAUACUGCAAAUCUCGAGUCCGGAAGAGGUGAGUGGAAUUCCUAGUGUAGAGGUGAAAUUCGUAGAUAUUAGGAAGAACACCAGUGGCGAAGGCGGCUCACUGGUCCGGUACUGGACGCUGAGGUGGCGGAAAAGCGUGGGGAGCAAACAGGG